UGGGGAAUAUUGGACAAUGGGCGAAAGCCUGAUCCAGCCAUGCCGCGUGUGUGAAGAAGGUCUUCGGAUUGUAAAGCACUUUAAGUUGGGAGGAAGGGCAGUUACCUAAUACGUGAUUGUUUUGACGUUACCGACAGAAUAAGCACCGGCUAACUCUGUGCCAGCAGCCGCGGUAAUACAGAGGGUGCAAGCGUUAAUCGGAAUUACUGGGCGUAAAGCGCGCGUAGGUGGUUUGUUAAGUUGGAUGUGAAAUCCCCGGGCUCAACCUGGGAACUGCAUUCAAAACUGACUGACUAGAGUAUGGUAGAGGGUGGUGGAAUUUCCUGUGUAGCGGUGAAAUGCGUAGAUAUAGGAAGGAACACCAGUGGCGAAGGCGACCACCUGGACUGAUACUGACACUGAGGUGCGAAAGCGUGGGGAGCAAACAGGAUUAGAUACCCAGGUAGUCCCUGAGCGGGCUGGCAAGGCGCAU
rnacentral:rRNA from 1 species